rnacentral:misc_RNA from 1 species
AUAGCAUUGGAAAUGUAGUUGAGAAAA